CCAAUGUCAACACCCAGGAAGGUCAGUCUCCCUGUGUCUUGUCCUGGUGUGUAGGGGAGCACGGGGCUUUGCCUCAUGAUGUACAGUCUCCCUCCAUGAUGUUGAAGAAAAAGCCAGGCCUUGAGUCUGCAGCUGCAUAUUCCUACAGCUUCCCAGAGUCCAUUGGGCUGCGACUGGGAAGACAAAUCAUGCAGGAAACAUUU